GUUUGGUGUGGUCAGUAUACAGUUUGGCGGGACGUAGACUACUUUAAUUUUGGUAGCUCUUUUAGUGACCAACACUGUGGUCGCCGUAUAUUUAUGCCUCCAGCGACCAAUUUCUGGUCACUGGAACCUUUGCCAAGGGAAAAUACCCCGCAUCCCCACCUAAGUAUCUAACAUGUUGGUGACCAACUUUCUAGUCGCUGCAUAUGUAUAGAGAUAAUCCUUCAACGACCAAGAUUUGGUCACUGGUGCCGUUCCCUGCCUAAAUUUUUAACACCUUUAGCAACUAACCAAGUGGUCGUUGCUAAUUGUGUUACUAAAUAUGGCUGGUUUGUUAAAUCCUUUGAACCAUUUAUCUAUCAGGAUAUAAUAUGCUACUAUCCUAGAAGUGAUAAAUCCCAUCUCGAUCACUUUUCAUAUGGCACUUGUCACGCUCAAUUGGUGUUGUAUAAGUAAUGUCAAUAUUUACGGUCGACAUAUUUGAAGUAUGAUGACCUACAAUUGAGAAUUUAUGAUCAAUUUGAUGAUCCACCCAAUUGCCAUUAAUUGUCAUGGUCAAUACUUACUCAAAACCAACCCAAUCGAUUUCGGUUACUUCUAAUCCAAACUGAACCACAAAGAUUUGAAAACAAUUUGAUCAAGAACAUAUUUUGUCAUUUAUUCUUUCAGUAGUUUCAAUUAGGACUUUGGCCCAAAUCAAUUAACUAUCAAACAAUUUCAAGAUAAAUUCCAUUUUCAACGUCAAUAUAACAUCUUGGUUAAAAUGAAAAAAAAAGAAAAAAAAAGAAAAAAGAAAAAGAAAAGAAGUAAUACAAUCGUCCUUUUCCAUUCGUUAUCCAUUUUAAUACAAUGUAAAGAUGAAAGAUUCCAGUUUCGAUUUUUGCUUUAGUAAGCACGUCCAAUCAUUAACUCCUUGAGUCGUUGUCGCCUUUUCUAAUACCAUCUCAUUAUCCCAAUUGUAGGAAAUAAAUCCAUCUUGCAACGUGACAGCUGAGGCUACCCCAUUGUUUUUUUUUUUUGGUGCUGUCAAUUGAUGCCUAAAUUAACCUUCUUAAGCCAUACUAUCACCAACAAUGGUUAUACAAAUUUAAUUGGCUCAAUAAACAAAUUAACACAAAGCUAUAUUUACUUGGCAAUUUCAUAAAGUGGAAAUUACGAGUUUUUGACAUUUCAAGAUCACAAUGCAAAAAUUAGUUGAGAAGAUUUUUUAUUCACAAUUCAGGUAUUGAUUGAACUAUUAAUAUUAAUAAUAUUUAAUAUAAAAUAUAUCAACCCCAAUU
rnacentral:lncRNA from 1 species